rnacentral:rRNA from 1 species
GGAUCCAGACUUUGAUCAUGGCUCAGGAUGAACGCUAGCUACAGGCUUAACACAUGCAAGUCGAGGGGAAACGAUAGAGAAAGCUUGCUUUUUCUAGGCGUCGACCGGCGCACGGGUGAGUAACGCGUAUCCAACCUGCCCAUCACUUGGGGAUAACCUUGCGAAAGUAAGACUAAUACCCAAUGAUAUCUCUAGAAGACAUCUGAAAGAGAUUAAAGAUUUAUCGGUGAUGGAUGGGGAUGCGUCUGAUUAGCUUGUUGGCGGGGUAACGGCCCACCAAGGCGACGAUCAGUAGGGGUUCUGAGAGGAAGGUCCCCCACAUUGGAACUGAGACACGGUCCAAACUCCUACGGGAGGCAGCAGUGAGGAAUAUUGGUCAAUGGGCGAGAGCCUGAACCAGCCAAGUAGCGUGCAGGAAGACGGCCCUAUGGGUUGUAAACUGCUUUUAUAAGGGAAUAAAGUGGGAGUCGUGACUCCUUUUGCAUGUACCUUAUGAAUAAGGACCGGCUAAUUCCGUGCCAGCAGCCGCGGUAAUACGGAAGGUCCGGGCGUUAUCCGGAUUUAUUGGGUUUAAAGGGAGCGUAGGCCGGAGAUUAAGCGUGUUGUGAAAUGUAGACGCUCAACGUCUGCACUGCAGCGCGAACUGGUUUCCUUGAGUACGCACAAAGUGGGCGGAAUUCGUGGUGUAGCGGUGAAAUGCUUAGAUAUCACGAAGAACUCCGAUUGUGAAGGCAGCUCACUGGAGCGCAACUGACGCUGAAGCUAGAAAGUGCGGGUAUCGAACAGGAUUAGAUACCCUGGUAGUCCGCACGGUAAACGAUGGAUGCCCGCUGUUGG